GACGCCCCUUUUCAUCUUCGCAUCUGUAGAGCUGAAAGCGUGUUUGGCACCAAGCACUGAACAAAUAUUUGUUAAAUGAAUGACUAAAUAACAUGUAUUAGUAUCGUGCUUAAAGUGCAAGAGACAUAUCAAAAGAUUUGUAAACGGUUGGGUCAAAUUUAAUUUAUAUGAAAAUGUUGAUUGUAAUAUCAAGUUUCUAAAAAUGUCUUGUUUUCAUGAUGAGUUCUGUUAUUCAUUUAGCAGGUUAGCCCCAAGGGUUCCACUCUGCUCACGACAGAAGAACUUCCCAGCCCCUCCAAGACUGCCAACAAAAGGGCAGAGCCUGAGCUGCUUGGGUCCCAUUACUGAGAUGGUGCUGUCGCCAUCUGCAUCCCUCCAGGCACGAAGGGUUUUCCCAGCAGCACCUCUCACAAUGUCUGGCAGAGAACAAGUGCUGGGAGACAAUUCUCCAUGGGCUUCUCACACUCUACACACCUUUCGAGUAGCGUCAUUGACUGCCUUUGUUCUGGACUGCUUUUCAAGGAUGUUUGUAUAAGAAAGUGCUUUGGAAGAGUGAGGAGGUGUCUCCCUCAGGAGCAAUGAGCAGGCGUGCUUACUGUUCAGUAUAAAAGAUUCCAUAAGCUCGGAGUUCCUCUCAAAUGCUGACACUGCCUGCUGCUACUGUGGUAAGCAAUCAAGUCCUUGGUCUCUGACCCGGGAGGCUCAUGACUUCUAUGCCAGCUUCUAUAGCACUACGGCAAGCUAACUUGUUAACUCGAAAGGAGGGUAAAAUCUCAUACCCUUCACAGUUCUUAAGAGUAAGUGCUCAGAAAGAAAAAAAGUUUGUUGAAUGAAUUAAUUUUUAAAAAGUUUAGGGGGCUUAUCAUUUUUAUGACUAAUCAACAGUUACCCAGAGAAAAUGUCCAAGCAGUUCUCUAGGGAAGGAGCGAUUUCCCAAUAUAUUUUCAUUAACGUACCAGUGUGUGUUAGUCAGCCUGUGUUUAUUUUAGAUAUCAGUAUUGACUUAAAAAUGUUGGCAGCGGUACGUUUGGACUUAGCUAAACGCUGAGCUGUGUGUUGGGAACCGAGUAUUUAUUCAAGCAUUACUCAGUCAUAUAGGAACUACAGACUUUGGGUAGUUUCUGCUUGCUUCUGCAUCAGUGUCCCUGAUGGAUGAGGCCAUAGUUUUGGUAACAGAGCUGAAAUUUUAUUCUUUCUUUCUAAAAAUAACAACUGAUUAUCUGCAGAAUGACGUUUUCGUUUGGAACACAAAAUGCUGAAUUUGGUGUUUAUUUUUCUAUUUGCUUCAGAGGUGGCUGUGUUUUUCUGUCGGUUUUAGAAUGCCUGACAAAUCUGAGCCUGGAAACCCUUUACCGAAAGGAGGUGAUCCAGUCUUUCUACAUGGCAGAUGGCCAAGCUGCCGCCUGUUACCUCCUGUUAAUAGUGACUCCAAGAGUCUGGCAGAGAGCUGGUGCCAGGUAGGUGGGGAUCCAAGGAGAAAAAUGCUUUCCAAAGGUAAACAAGUGAUUUAAGGUCAAUCAUCACUCAUAACCAUCUUAGAAACUGCAUGGCGUGUCAGGAGGGGCAAAGUGCUAGGAUCCAGGGAACGGAGGUUUGCUUCUGGUCCUCCCACUUUUUCUGUCAUCCCGGGCAUUUGACCUUCCUGAGUCUUGGUUUUCCCAAUUGUAAGAUGGGAACAGGUAACAAUAAGACCUGUUCUGCUGAACCAUAGCAUUGUUUUGAGCAUCAAAUGAAAUAGCCCAAUUCUGGUCAAUAAACGUAACAAUCGUAUAGCCCUUUUCUCA
rnacentral:lncRNA from 1 species